rnacentral:rRNA from 1 species
UACGAAGGGAGCUAGCGUUGUUCGGAAUCACUGGGCGUAAAGCGCACGUAGGCGGCUGUGUCAGUCAGGGGUGAAAUCCCGGAGCUCAACUUCGGAACUGCCCUUGAUACAGCACAUCUGGAGUCCGGAAGAGGUGGGUGGAAUUCCUAGUGUAGAGGUGAAAUUCGUAGAUAUUAGGAAGAACACCGGUGGCGAUGGCGGCCCACUGGUCCGGUACUGACGCUGAGGUGCGAAGGCGUGGGGAGCAAACAGG